UGCUGAUGCUCUUUAAUACACUCGUAGUCCAUCUGUAACUGUGCAUUUUCUAAUUAAAGAAUGCAAUUAUUAAUGCAAUGAAUUUAAAUGUGUUCAGUAUUCAUUCACUCUUGUCUGUUAUAAAUCUUACGGUGAGUAAUUAGUCACUUUGUGACAGCUUUGCUCUUCUAGCAUGAAAUUAAUAAAACAGCACCAGACCAACUAAAUGUAAAGAAGCACAGAACAACUCUCAUAUGAUGGAGCGAGCACAUGAAACUCUGGAAGCCGAGAUAUUACUGGACAGACUACAGUAGAAGUACACAUUAGCUUUGAAGUGAUAGCUUUGACUGAGUUAAUUUGGUCAUUAUCUGGAAAACUGAGAAAGGCAAUGCAUGAUCCAGCUAGCCUGAUUUGUUUUUGACUUUAUUAUUACUCUGUGACAGAUUCAAGUGUUCAGUAUGGCACUGAUUUUUUUAAAAUCUUUAUCUUUUUUUCUUUUUUCUUUGUUAUAGAGAUUCCUGCACAUGACACUGCCCACUGCAUGCACUCUCAGUACAGAUUUAAUGCAGAGUGUGACUUUUAAACUGGAGCACCACUUGUACUGCUGCCAGCAUCAUGAUAACGUAGCUAGAAAUUGCCACAAGGUGGCAGUUUUGGACUGAACCUGAGAAAUCUCAGCUUUUAAUUUGUUCUCUUUGAGCAUACAGCUUUUUACAUUAGGAAGCUGCACUAAUACCUUUGGUUAAAGACAUAAAUAGUUUGGGUGAAGCAUAAAGUUAAAGUUAGUUGAUCUGAAAAGUCAGCCUCAACAUUUUAGUUUAAGCAAAGGAUGGGAAGAUCACACUCAGUCCAAUCAGAAACAAGCUAGAGGGCGAAACUUACUCUUUAAAUGAUCAGUAGGAAUCUCUUUAGAAAAGGAGCGCGAUCGUUUCAGUGGCAGAAGUUUUCAACAUUUAAUUGGCCGUGAGUCAUGUGGUCGUUUUCUCUGUUUGUGCUGACAGAUGUUAGAAAAAUUCAAACUCAUUCAAUUAUGUUUAAAAGGAUGUAUUAUAAUAACUUUGUUUCUUCUAAUGCAGCGCUCACUGAAAAACAG
ensembl:lncRNA